rnacentral:rRNA from 1 species
AUUGAACGCUGGCGGCAGGCUUAACACAUGCAAGUCGAGCGGAGAUGAGGUGCUUGCACCUUAUCUUAGCGGCGGACGGGUGAGUAAUGCUUAGGAAUCUGCCAUUUAGUGGGGGACGACAUUCCGAAAGGAAUGCUAAUACCGCAUACGUCCUACGGGAGAGAGCAGGGGAUCUUCGGACCUUGCGCUAAAUGAUGAGCCUAAGUCGGAUUAGCUAGUUGGUGGGGUAAAGGCCUACCAAGGCGACGAUCUGUAGCGGGUCUGAGAGGAUGAUCCGCCACACUGGGACUGAGACACGGCCCAGACUCCUACGGGAGGCAGCAGUGGAGAAUAUUGGACAAUGGGCGGAAGCCUGAUCCAGCCAUGCCGCGUGUGUGAAGAAGGCCUUUUGGUUGUAAAGCACUUUAAGCGAGGAGGAGGCUACUAGUACUAAUACUACUGGAUAGUGGACGUUACUCGCAGAAUAAGCACCGGCUAACUCUGUGCCAGCCGCCGCCGUAAUAC